GACAGAGGGUGCAAACGUUGCUCGGAAUCACUGGGCGUAGAGGGCGUGUAGGCGGGAAGGAAAGUCAGAUGUGAAAUCCCCAGGCUCAACCUGGGAACUGCAUUUGAAACUCCCUUUCUUGAGUACCGGAGAGGAAAGUGGAAUUCCUGGUGUAGAGGUGAAAUUCGUAGAUAUCAGGAGGAACACCAGUGGCGAAGGCGGCUUUCUGGACGGUAACUGACGCUGAGACGCGAAAGCGUGGGGAGCAAACAGG
rnacentral:rRNA from 1 species